rnacentral:rRNA from 1 species
GAUGAACGCUGGCGGCGUGCUUAACACAUGCAAGUCGAACGGAAAGGCCACAGCUUGCUGUGGUACUCGAGUGGCGAACGGGUGAGUAACACGUGGGUGAUCUGCCCUGUACUUCGGGAUAAGCUUGGGAAACUGGGUCUAAUACCGGAUAGGAAUCACAUGUGGGUGUGUGGUUGGAAAGCUUUUGCGGUAUGGGAUGAGCUCGCGGCCUAUCAGCUUGUUGGUGGGGUAAUGGCCUACCAAGGCGUCGACGGGUAGCCGGCCUGAGAGGGUGUACGGCCACAUUGGGACUGAGAUACGGCCCAGACUCCUACGGGAGGCAGCAGUGGGGAAUAUUGCACAAUGGGCGCAAGCCUGAUGCAGCGACGCCGCGUGGGGAAUGACGGCCUUCGGGUUGUAAACUCCUUUCGUCAGGGACGAAGCGAAAGUGACGGUACCUGGAUAAGAAGCACCGGCUAACUACGUG